GCUCUUUGGUGAUUCAUGAUAACUUAACGGAUCGCAUGGCCUUGCGCCGGCGACGGUUCAUUCAAAUUUCUGCCCUAUCAACUUUCGAUGGUAAGGUAUUGGCUUACCAUGGUUUCAACGGGUAACGGGGAAUUAGGGUUCGAUUCCGGAGAGGGAGCCUGAGAAACGGCUACCACAUCCAAGGAAGGCAGCAGGCGCGCAAAUUACCCAAUCCCGACACGGGGAGGUAGUGACAAUAAAUACUGAUACAGGGCUCUUUUGGGUCUUGUAAUCGGAAUGAGUACAAUUUAAACCCCUUAACGAGGAACAAUUGGAGGGCAAGUCUGGUGCCAGCAGCCGCGGUAAUUCCAGCUCCAAUAGCGUAUAUUAAAGUUGUUGCAGUUAAAAAGCUCGUAGUUGAACCUUGGGCCUGGCUGGCCGGUCCGCCUCACCGCGUGUACUGGUCCGGCCGGGCCUUUCCUUCUGGAGAGCCCCAUGCCCUUCACUGGGCGUGCGGGGGAACCAGGACUUUUACUUUGAAAAAAUUAGAGUGUUCAAAGCAGGCCUUUGCUCGAAUACGUUAGCAUGGAAUAAUAGAAUAGGACGUGCGGUCCUAUUUUGUUGGUUUCUAGGACCGCCGUAAUGAUUAAUAGGGAUAGUCGGGGGCAUCAGUAUUCAAUUGUCAGAGGUGAAAUUCUUGGAUUUAUUGAAGACUAACUACUGCGAAAGCAUUUGCCAAGGAUGUUUUCAUUAAUCAGUGAACGAAAGUUAGGGGAUCGAAGACGAUCAGAUACCGUCGUAGUCUUAACCGUAAACUAUGCCGACUAGGGAUCGGGCGAUGUUUCUAUCUUGACUCGCUCGGCACCUUACGAGAAAUCAAAGUUUUUGGGUUCUGGGGGGAGUAUGGUCGCAAGGCUGAAACUUA
rnacentral:rRNA from 1 species